rnacentral:rRNA from 1 species
AGUGAACGCUGGCGGUAGGCCUAACACAUGCAAGUCGAACGGCAGCACAGUAAGAGCUUGCUCUUACGGGUGGCGAGUGGCGGACGGGUGAGGAAUACAUCGGAAUCUACUUUUUCGUGGGGGAUAACGUAGGGAAACUUACGCUAAUACCGCAUACGACCUACGGGUGAAAGCAGGGGAUCUUCGGACCUUGCGCGAUUGAAUGAGCCGAUGUCGGAUUAGCUAGUUGGCGGGGUAAAGGCCCACCAAGGCGACGAUCCGUAGCUGGUCUGAGAGGAUGAUCAGCCAAACUGGAACUGAGACACGGUCCAGACUCCUACGGGAGGCAGCAGGGGGGAAUAUUGGACAAGGGGCGCAAGCCUGAUCCAGCCAUACCGCGUGGGUGAAGAAGGCCUUCGGGUUGUAAAGCCCUUUUGUUGGGAAAGAAAAGCAGCAGGUUAAUACCCCGCUGUUCUGACGGUACCCAAAGAAUAAGCACCGGCUAACUUCGU